AUUGAACGCUGGCGGCAGGCUUAACACAUGCAAGUCGAGCGAGCGGCGGACGGGUGAGUAAUGUAUCGGAACGUGCCUGGUGGCGGGGGAUAACUACUGGAAACGGUGGCUAAUACCGCAUACCAUCAGAUCGGCCGAGAUCGGAUUAGCUAGUUGGUGGGGUAAAGGCUCACCUAGGCGACGAUCCGUAGCUGGUCUGAGAGGAUGACCAGCCACACUGGAACUGAGACACGGUCCAGACUCCUACGGGAGGCAGCAGUGGGGAAUAUUGGACAAUGGGCGAAAGCCUGAUGCAGCCAUGCCGCGUGUGUGAAGAAGGCCUUCGGGUUGUAAAGUACUUUUAGCGAGGAGGCGGUACCUGCAGAAGAAGCACCGGCUAACUACGUGCCAGCAGCCGCGGUAAUAC
rnacentral:rRNA from 1 species